GGGGGAGCGGUAACUGAGGGGAGGCCUCCAGGAUUGUGGGUCUUAUCAAGACUCUCUCACAGUGAGACGACAGGAACGCUGUCUGCCUGGGGUGUAUCCUACCUUCUAACUGAUGCGGAGUACACCUUCCUUUUGGCCUCCAGGAGCUGGACCAAGGCACCAUAACCACGCAUGAUAUUGUUGGUCUGUGACCGGCCUGAAACGGUGCCACACUAUAGGUGGAUUGGUU